rnacentral:rRNA from 1 species
UCGACGAGUUUGAUCCUGGCUCAGAUUGAACGCUGGCGGGCAUGCUUUACACAUGCAAGUCGAACGGUAACGGGGACUUCGGUCUGCCGACGAGUGGCGAACGGGUGAGUAAUAUAUCGGAACGUGCCCAGUAAUGGGGGAGUAGCUCGGCGAAAGCCGGAUUAAUACCGCAUACGCCCUGAGGGGGAAAGUGGGGGAGUCUUCGGACCUCACGUUAUUGGAGCGGCCGAUAUCAGAUUAGCUAGUUGGUGGGGUAAAGGGCCUACCAAGGCGACGAUCUGUAGCUGGUCUGAGAGGAUGAUCAGCCACACUGGGACUGAGACACGGCCCAGACUCCUACGGGAGGCAGCAGUGGGGAAUUUUGGACAAUGGGCGAAAGCCUGAUCCAGCCAUGCCGCGUGAGUGAAGAAGGCCUUCGGGUUGUAAAGCUCUUUCAGGUGGAAAGAAAGCGGAUGGGUUAAUACCCUGUCCGGAUGACGGUACCACCAGAAGAAGCACCGGCUAACUACGUG